rnacentral:lncRNA from 1 species
AUGCAGUAUGUCAAUAGCACAGUGACUUCCACGAGGAGAGGGGAGCCACCCAGCAUGUGCCCAGCGCCGCGGACGGCAGACGUUCCGGGGGUGUUUGAGAGGGUCCUGCAGCCCAGGUUGGUGGGAAAGGGCGUGGUCGGGGGCGUGGCAGGAGACACCCCUGGUGCUGGGGUUCUGGGGUGCACAGCUGGGGGCGGGGAGUAGGCGAUGGCAGGUUACGGUUGGCAGGCAGCCUGGUUGGCCUGAACCGGACUCUG